rnacentral:rRNA from 1 species
AUUGAACGCUGGCGGCAGGCCUAACACAUGCAAGUCGAACGGUAACAGGAAACAGCUUGCUGUUUCGCUGACGAGUGGCGGACGGGUGAGUAAUGCCUGGGAAACUGCCUGAUGGAGGGGGAUAACUACUGGAAACGGUAGCUAAUACCGCAUAACGUCGCAAGACCAAAGAGGGGGACCUUCGGGCCUCUUGCCAUCGGAUGUGCCCAGAUGGGAUUAGCUAGUAGGUGGGGUAACGGCUCACCUAGGCGACGAUCCCUAGCUGGUCUGAGAGGAUGACCAGCCACACUGGAACUGAGACACGGUCCAGACUCCUACGGGAGGCAGCAGUGGGGAAUAUUGCACAAUGGGCGCAAGCCUGAUGCAGCCAUGCCGCGUGUAUGAAGAAGGCCUUCGGGUUGUAAAGUACUUUCAGCGGGGAGGAAGGGAGUAAAGUUAAUACCUUUACUCAUUGACGUUACCCGCAGAAGAAGCACCGGCUAACUCCGUG